UACGAAGGGGGCGAGCGUUGCUCGGAUUUACUGGGCGUAAAGGGCGCGUAGGCGGUUAGAUUUGUCAGGCGUGAAAGCCCCGGGCUUAACCUGGGAACUGCGUUUGAUACGGUGUGGCUAGAGUUCGGGAGAGGAGAGUGGAAUUCCCAGUGUAGAGGUGAAAUUCGUAGAUAUUGGGAAGAACACCGGUGGCGAAGGCGGCGCUCUGGACCGAUACUGACGCUGAGGCGCGAAAGCGUGGGGAGCAAAUAGG
rnacentral:rRNA from 1 species